AAUUCGAUGCAACGCGAAAACCUUACCCACCUUUGACAUGGCAGGAAUCCCGAAGAGAUUUGGAGUGCUCGAAAGAGAACCUGCACACAGGUGCUGCAUGGCUGUCGUCAGCUCGUGUCGUGAGAUGUUGGGUUAAAGUCCCGCAACGAGCGCAACCCUUGCCAUUAGUUGCUACGAAAGGGCACUCUAAUGGGACUGCCGGUGACAAACCGGAGGAAGGUGGGGAUGACGUCAAGUCCUCAUGGCCCUUAUAGGUGGGGCUAUACACGUCAUACAAUGGAUGGUACAAAGGGUCGCCAACCCGCGAGGGGGAGCCAAUCCCAUAAAGCCAUUCGUAGUCCGGAUCGCAGUCUGCAACUCGACUGCGUGAAGUCGGAAUCGCUAGUAAUCGUGGAUCAGAAUGUCACGGUGAAUACGUUCCCGGGCCUU
rnacentral:rRNA from 1 species